UGGGGGCAUUGCCAGUCCCUCUCUGCCCUUAGUGAGCUGUGUGACUUUGCACAAGUCGCUCCCCCUCACUGAGCCUUCCCUCCUUCCUCUGUGAUUGGGGGCAAGGGAAGUUAACGGGCAGUGGUUUUGCAAUUAGGUUCUGCUGAGCCCUUAGGCGCCCUUCAGAAGCCCUCGCAGGAGGAGGGUCGGGGGCUCGGUGGGUGGGAUUCCGAGCCCCCCGAGCCCCACCUUAACCAGACCAUCCUGCUUUUCUCUCUUUUAUAAUCAGGGUUCUGCAUAAUAUUUUGAGGGAAGACACAGUUCUGAGGCUCGAAGGAAAACGAAAACCACUUUGCCAACUGAUCUCGGAAGCCUGCCUUCCAGCGCUCACAGCCCAGCAGCCCGGGGAGAUGAUGGACCUCACCCUCCGCUGCCUCAGAGAGAGCAUCUUCCCUGUGGCCUUUCCUGUUCACGUUCCCCUUAGAAAAUCCAGCGGCCUGGCGACUUCGUCUUCAGAAGCUGUUCUCUGGGGCGCCUGGGUGGCUCAGUGAGUUAAGCUUCCGACUCCAGCCCAGGUCAUGACCUUGUGGCUCGUGGAUUGGAGCUCCGCAUUGGGCUCUCCGCUAUGACCACGGA
rnacentral:lncRNA from 1 species